AAGACUUUGGCACAGUCCCUGACAACUGGAGGGACAACCAGGAGGGUCUGGACACAGGCUCAGAAACAUAUGGUUCCUUCACAGCACAUUAAACAAGUCUCUCAUAAAAACAGAGGGAGACCUUCUCAAAGUCAGAGGUUCAAAGUACUGACAUCUACAAAAAUCUGGGUAACUUGAUGUCACGAGUGUUUAUUAAUAUUCAGUGUCUGUCAGAAAUUAUAAACUCUACUAUAAAGACA